rnacentral:rRNA from 1 species
UACAGAGGGGGCAAGCGUUAUUCGGAUUUAUUGGGCGUAAAGGGCGCGUAGGCGGCCACGCACGUCCGUUGUGAAAUCGCUCGGCUCAACUGGGCGGGGUCAGCGGAUACGGAGUGGCUGGAGCAAGCUAGGGGGCAAUGGAAUUCCCGGUGUAGUGGUGGAAUGCGUAGAUAUCGGGAGGAACACCAGUGGCGAAGGCGGUUGCCUGGAGCUUUGCUGACGCUGAUGCGCGAAAGCGUGGGGAGCGAUCCGG